CGGCAUCGUUGGCCACAUGAUUUUAUUAGACGCCCAUCGUCUCGUGUUCAAGUCCCUCGCACUCUUAUUCUAUUAGACGCCCGGAAGUCCACAUUCUAAAACCCUAAAGCAAACUCUUUACCGACGAGACGACGCCUCCGAAGCCUCCUCCCUCUCCCUCCAUGGCCACCAAGAAGCGCAAGGUCGACCAAGAGGACGACCUCCUCUCCGCCCCCAACCACGACAUCGACCCCCAAUCCCUCGACUCCUCCGCUGCCGCCGCUGCCGCCGGUGGGACGACGGCACCGCCUCCGGAUGCCGUGGAGGACGACGAGGCAGACGAAGAGGAGGAGGACGUCGGGAAGCUCCUGGAGCCCCUCUCGAAGGAGCAGCUGAUCUCGCUCCUCCGCUCCGCCGCCGCCUCGGACCCGGCCACCCUCGCCGAGAUCCACCGACUCGCCGACCUGGACCCUGCCCACCGGAAGCUCUUCGUCCACGGCCUGGGCUGGGAUACCACCUCCGACGGUCUCCGCGCCGCCUUCGCCCGCUACGGUGAGAUCGAAGACUGCCGCGUCGUCGUCGACAAAGCCAGCGGCCGCUCUAAGGGCUACGGCUUCCUCCUCUUCCGCCACCGCCGCUCCGCCCGCCGCGCCCUCUGCCAACCCCAGAAGCUCAUCGACAACCGCAUGACCGCCUGCCAGCUCGCAUCUGCCGGCCCCCCUGGCGCCGCCUCCCACCCCCCGCCGCCCCAUCACCACACCGCAUCCUCCAACCCUAACCCUAACUUUAACCCUAGCGCGGUUCUCCAGGACAACCUCCCGAGGAAGAUCUACGUUGGGAACGUCCACUCCAACGUCGACGGCGCCCGCCUCCAUGCCUUCUUCUCCAAGUACGGGGAGAUCGAGGAAGGCCCUAUUGGCUUCGAUCGCCAGACCGGAAAGCCUAAGGGAUUCGCCCUCUUCGUCUAUAAAACGGUGGAGGGCGCUCGGAGGGCCCUCGAGGAGCCCAAUAAGAACUUCGAGGGCCACCUGCUCUACUGCCAGAAGGCCACCGAUAGCAAGACUAAGGCAACAGCUGGGGCGGUGGCGGCCCCCCCGGCCCAUGCCGCCACCGCUCCAAAUGUGCCGUCGAGCAUGAGUGGUUUCAAUGCGUCUGGAUUUGGUGGCAACCCGCCAGAUAUGGGUUUGGCGCAACAAGCUGCAAUUUUGGGGCAAGGAUUUCUGGGUGUUGGCGGGACACAAGGCUUUGGACAAGGGAUGUCGCCAAAUGCUGCAGCGCUCGCAAUGCUGGCAGCAGCAGGGCAGAAUCCUGGAUCUUUCGCUAUAAAUCCUGCCGUCCUUGCAUCACUGAACCCUGCUUUGGCGGCAGCAUUGGGUGCCGGAGGCCAGCAGGCUGUGCCUCCUUCUGCAGCCCCUCAGACAGCUCCAGCACAGAGUUAUGGAACGGGGAACAUGGGGUACCAGAAUGCUGGGUUUCAGGGGCCUCCAGGAUUUCAAGGGCCUCCAGGGUUUCAGGGUCCUCCGGGAUUUCAAGGCAAUCAGCCAGUGUCUCAACAGGUUGUUGGUGGAAGUGGUGGUUCUUAUCAGACAGGCCCUGGUGGACAGGGCCCUUUGCCAAGGCCAUCAGUCGGGCACAUGGGUGGAUAUGCACCACAUUAAGGUUCAACUGUCCAGCAUGGCAUACUUUUCAUCGUUUGAUCUCUGAACUUGUACAUUGAUAGAUGAGCUUCCAUCAACAUUAUGUCAUGCUGUAGACAUACUCUCGCUGCAUCACUUUGGCUCAUGGCUUACAAUUCGUCAGUUGGUAUUUGAACAUGUGUAAUGAUGGAAUGAGGUCUCAUCAACAAUGUUCAUGUUGUGCAUGUCGUGUGGAGUACUGCUAUAUACUUACACUAUUGUAUAUAUGUAGUUGGGGGCCAGUAUUAAUUCUAACACGGACCAAGUGGAGGUCUCAGAUGCAACCGUUAAAUAUUAGAAAUGAGAUAUCUUGAAUUCUUGGAGACUACUUGAUGCUUCCAGGCCACAAUGGAAAAAGGGGAAACAUAGAAAAAAUGAAAAUUAGCUGGACCAUCUGACUGGAGAUUCUAAGGUAGUAUAUAUGAAUGUUAUAAUAAUUCCUAUAAUGUUGAACAGAAAUAAAAGAGAAAAACCUUUAAUAAUUCCUCUUACGUUUUCUACUAUGGAUUCCAGUCUGUCAGGUGCUAUGGGUGGCAACACCUCUGCCACAAAAGAAUGACCUAGUAGGUCCUCUACUUACAUCACUAACUGAUGAGCCUAUUUUACAUUGCACACCUGAUGGAUUGACAGCCAAUUGAGUGUUCCGUGGCAAAAGUCGCAACUGAGAAAGAUGUCCGCUGAACCUCAGGCACGUGUGCUUGAAGAAAUGAUGUAAGUAUCAGAUAAUUGGCAGUUCCUUGACCUGUCUAAAUUCAGCAUCACUCGUAAUCAUUAUCCCUGUGCUUUAACUGAUAAAUGUGCUUCCAAUAUGUUAUGCGUUAUCUUUAUUGUCUAAUGACGGAACUGAAUUUAGCUACUUAUUAAUCAUCAGAAAACAGCACUGCGAAGAAAGAAACCAAUAUGCCACAUAGCAUGUAACUAGGCAGGUUGUAAGUGCAGUUAUAGCUCUUGUUUUUUAAGAGGUUGUGGUGCUCAGAUCAACUGGGCAGGUUGUAAGCACCUUACUGAAUUCUGUUUUCCAGGCAAUUUUACUGUACACGGAUAAUGGUGCAUGUGGAGACACGGUUCUUGUUAUUUAUGCCAGCGCUCAUUUUUUUCAUGGGCAUGCUGCCAUGAUUAACUCCA